UACGUAGGGAGCGAGCGUUGUCCGGAAUUACUGGGCGUAAAGGGUGCGUAGGUGGCCAUGCAAGUCAGAUGUGAAAUCCCCGGGCUUAACUCGGGGGGUGCAUUUGAAACUGCGUGGCUUGAGUGCAGGAGAGGAAAGCGGAAUUCCUAGUGUAGCGGUGAAAUGCGUAGAUAUUAGGAGGAACACCAGUGGCGAAGGCGGCUUUCUGGACUGUAACUGACACUGAGGCACGAAAGCGUGGGGAGCAAACAGGAUUAGAUACCCUGGUAGUCCACGCUGUAAACGAUGGAUACUAGGUGUGGGGGAGAUACAACCUCCGUGCCGGAGCAAACGCAAUAAGUAUCCCGCCUGGGGAGUACGGCCGCAAGGCUGAA
rnacentral:rRNA from 1 species